rnacentral:miRNA from 2 species
UGAACUAUUGCAGUAGCCUCCU